CGAGCGGCCGAGCGGGCGGCUUCCCGGCCUGGGCGCUCCGGGGGCGGCGGAGGUGCGCGAGGAGCCAUGGUUAUCAUGUCGGAGUUCAGCGCAGACCCCGCGGGCCAGGGCCAGCAGAAGCCCCUCCGGGUGGGUUUCUACGACAUCGAGCGGACCCUCGGCAAAGGCAACUUCGCGGUGGUGAAGCUGGCGCGGCAUCGAGUCACCAAAACGCAGGUUGCAAUAAAAAUAAUUGAUAAAACACGAUUAGAUUCAAGCAACUUGGAGAAAAUCUAUCGUGAGGUUCAGCUAAUGAAGCUUCUGAACCACCCACACAUCAUAAAGCUUUACCAGGUUAUGGAAACAAAGGACAUGCUUUACAUCGUUACUGAAUUUGCUAAAAACGGAGAAAUGUUUGAUUAUCUGACUUCCAACGGGCACCUGAGUGAGAAUGAGGCGAGGAAGAAGUUCUGGCAGAUCCUGUCGGCCGUGGAGUACUGUCACGACCACCACAUCGUCCACCGGGACCUCAAGACGGAGAACCUGCUGCUGGAUGGCAACAUGGACAUCAAGCUGGCAGAUUUUGGAUUUGGGAAUUUCUACAAGUCAGGAGAGCCUCUCUCCACAUGGUGUGGGAGCCCCCCGUAUGCCGCCCCGGAAGUCUUUGAGGGAAAGGAAUAUGAAGGCCCCCAGCUGGACAUCUGGAGCCUGGGCGUGGUGCUGUAUGUCCUGGUCUGCGGUUCUCUCCCCUUCGACGGACCCAACCUGCCGACGCUGAGACAGCGGGUGCUGGAGGGCCGCUUCCGCAUCCCGUUCUUCAUGUCUCAAGACUGUGAGAGCCUGAUCCGCCGCAUGCUGGUGGUGGACCCUGCCAGGCGCAUCACCAUCGCCCAGAUCCGGCAGCAUCGGUGGAUGCGGGCCGAGCCCUGCCUGCCGGAGCCCUGCCUGCCGGGGCCCUGCCUGCCGGGGCCUGCCUGCCCCACCUUCUCCACACACAGCUACAGCUCCAACCUUGGCGACUACGAUGAGCAGGCGCUGGGCAUCAUGCAGACUCUGGGCGUCGACCGGCAGAGGACGGUGGAGUCACUGCAAAACAGCAGCUAUAACCACUUCGCUGCCAUUUAUUACCUCCUCCUCGAGCGGCUCAAGGAGUAUCGGAAUGCCCAGUGCACCCGCCCCGGGCCUGCCAGGCAGCCACGGCCUCGGAGCUCAGACCUCAGCGGCUUGGAGGUGCCUCAGGAAGGUCUUUCCACCGACCCUUUCCGACCCGCCCUGCUGUGCCCACAGCCGCAGGCCUUGGUGCAGUCCGUCCUGCAGGCCGAGAUGGACUGUGAGCUCCAGAGCUCUCUGCAGUGGCCCCUGUUCUUCCCGGUGGAUGCUGGCUGCAGCGGAGUGUUCCGGCCCCGGCCCCUGUCCCCCAGCAGCCUGCUGGACACGGCCAUCAGUGAGGAGGCCAGGCAGGGGCCCGGCCUCGAGGAGGAGCAGGAUGCUCAGGAGUCCCUGCCUGGCAGCACGGGUCGGAGGCACACCCUGGCCGAGGUCUCCACCCGCCUGUCCCCACUCACCGCUCCAUGCAUAGUCGUCUCCCCGUCCUCCACAGCGAGCCCUGCAGAGGGAACCAGCUCGGACAGUUGUCUGACCUUCUCCGCGAGCAGAGGCCCUGCAGAGCUCAGUGGCACCCCGGCCACUCAGGGGCUGCUGGGCCCCGGCUCCCCGGUCAGGUUGGCCUCGCCCUUUCUGGGGUCACAGUCUGCCACCCCGGCGCUGCAGGCCCAGGGGGGCUUGGGAGGAGCUGUCCUGCUUCCUGUCAGCUUCCAAGAGGGACGGAGGGCGUCGGACACCUCACUGACUCAGGGGCUGAAGGCCUUUCGGCAGCAACUGAGGAAGACCACGCGGACUAAAGGGUUUCUCGGGCUGAACAAAAUCAAGGGGCUCGCCCGCCAGGUGUGCCAGGCCCCCGCCAGCCGUGCCAGCAGGGGUGGCCUGAGCCCCUUCCACACACCUGCACAGAGUCCGGGCCUGCACAGCAGUGCGGCCGGCAGCCGGGAGGGCCGGAGCCUGCUGGAGGAGGUGCUGGAGCAGCAGAGGCUGCUCCAGUUACAGCACCACCCGGCCGCCACGCCCAGCUGCUCACAGGCCCCCCAGCCGACCUCCACCCCAUUUGUGAUAGCCCCCUGUGAUGGCCCUGGGGCCACGCUGCUCCCCAGCACCCUCUUCAUGUCGGGGCUCCCACUGCUGCCACCCCCACUCCUGCAGGCCGGCGUCUCCCCCGUGGCCUCGGCCGCGCAGCUCCUGGACACACAGCUGCAUAUUGGCGCCAGCCCCACCGCCCUCCCCGCUGCGCUCUCGCCAGGCCCGGCCAGGCUGGCCCCAGGCUGUGAGCCCCUGGGGCUGCUGCAGGGGGACUUCGAGAUGGAGGACCUGAGCCCCUGCCCCCUGGGGACCUUCGUCCUGGUGCAGUGAGGGCGGCCCCGCGUCCUGGCUCGGACACUGACUCUUCCAAGCAAUAACUUCAGAGUAGGUGAAGACAUCUGGACUCAAAAGCCAAGAACUUUCUAGAAGCAAAACAAGCAAUACGUUAGGUGUUUUGGCUUUUUAGUUUAUUUUUGUUUAAUUUUUUUCUUGCACUGAGUGACCUCAACUCUGAGUAGGGACUGGAAACUUUAAGAAGAAAGAUAAUUGAGCGGUGUGUCUUGGGGGCGGGGGCAGGAGGGGAGCAGGGUGGAGGAGGACAUGUGCAGCUCCGUGGUGUGGGGAUCAGCCCCUCUGCAGCUUCGUCGUGGUUGAGAUGAUUACGUCGGACAUCCACGGAAACAAGCGGGCGCGUUGUCUGUCGUCCACGUCUGUGUGUGUGUGCCCGCGUGUGUGUGUGCACAUGUGGGCAUUGAUUACUAUCCAUUUCUUUAGUUAACACUCACCACUUCCUGAUUCAUGCUUUAAUGAAAACUGUGAACUUUCGGCUUCAUGUAUCCGUUUUAAAGCAGCUCUACGUGGUCAGCCCAGGCAAAGAUCAGCUACACGUUCUUGGAAUUCUCUCCCCUGAAAUCAAAACCUGGAAGACACUUUUUUCCUUAUUUUAGGUGAGUUUUAUAAACUGCUCAAGAGUUAGUUUUCCAGGGCUUUGGAGGAACCGCAGGAAGAACCUCAAAGACGGCAGAGGUGAUGUCAAAGUGCUGGGGGCUCCGUCCUAAGGGUCACUUGGCCCCCAGUCCCCGGGGCAGAAGCCCAGAAGCUUCUUCCUGCUGCACCUCGAGUUCGGCUGCUGAAGACCUUCAUGCAUUUCAUGGUGGGGUCCCCAAGAACACCUGACUUGGGUCAGGCUGUGCAAUAGCAGGGGCCGACUGCAGGCCAGGCAGCUAGGAGACACUCGGGGCUCAGGGCCGCCUGCCUGGGCCAGGACCCUCCCGAGAAAUCGCCCGGUCCCUGCGUGGGCUCUUUGGCUUUUUUUUUGUUUCUUUUUUUUUUUAAAGCAGACCCUGUGCAUGCAUCUGCACGGGUGACAGGUAGACACUACUUCGUGGUUAGGUUUUGUGCACUUUGUGUUUAGGUUUCCGCUUCCCUCACUCAUGGUAAGAAGCGUCCCUGUCAGCACGAGGCGUGCAUUGAGGAAGGGGCCCCAGGGCCUUCCUCCCUCGGUGCUGGGGUGGAGGCGGCAGGAAGGGGCGGCCCUCACCUGGCAGGUUGGGGCACACCACUGGCAGGUGGACUCCGAGAGGCUCCACCAGCCAGAAGCCUCUGGAAGGCAACAAAGGAAAUGCUGCUCCCACUCGCCCUGAACCCAGCCCAGGUGCCUUCAGCUGCUUCGGCUUCUUACACCCCGCAGUGUUAAACAGAGGCGUUGGGAAAGGGGAAAGGCGGGUAUUUUUAAAAGCCAAAGAUUGACCCAGUUACUUGAGGGUAGGGAGGCGGGCCGGUUCGAGAGGCGGUCCCUGGGCUGCCAGCGCCCACCGGGGGCUGCGCCUGUGCUGUGCCGGGGGGAGCUGGCCGCCCCCGUUCCUGCUGCUACUGCUGCUCUGGCGGGGCGAGGGGCUGUCUGGAGGGCAGACCUGGGGCCUCGCCGCCGAGAAAACACCAAAGUCUCCUUUCGCUCAUAGAGAAAUUUUUGGGAUGGGAGAGCAUCCAGACCAUCGUGGGGCAGCCAGGCCCUUGCCUUCAUUUUUACAGAGGUAGCACAAUUGAUUCCAACACAAAACCCCUCCCCUUUUCAAAACGAUUUCUGUUCUAAUGCCACAGAUCAAAGGCCUCAGACACCAUGUGUGUUUCCUCUUCGAAGCAAUGACAAGCACUUUACUUUCGUAGUGGUUUUGUUUUUCCUUACUGCUGUAGAACCUCUUUUGGAGGACGUUAAAGGCGUGUUUUUCUUGUUUUUUUAAGAGUGUGUGAUGUGUGUUUUGUAGAUUUCUUGACAGUGCUGUAUACAGACGGCAAUGCAGUAGCCUAUUUAAAGACACUACGUGAUCUGAUUGAGAUGUACAUAGUUUUUUUUACCAUAACUGAAUUAUUUUACCUCUUACGUUAACAUGAGAAAUGUAUGCCAAAUAAUUAGUUGAUGUAUGUUUUUUAAUUUAAUAUUUAAAUAAAAUAUUUGGAAGGAAAA